GCGGACGUGGCGAAAUCGGUAGACGCAACGGACUUAGAAAAUCCGUCGGGCUUUGCCCUUGGGGGUUCAAGUCCCCCCGUCCGCA
rnacentral:tRNA from 1 species